UACAGAGGGGGCAAGCGUUGUUCGGAAUUACUGGGCGUAAAGGGCGCGUAGGCGGCCGUGCAAGCGUGGGGUGAAAGUCCGGGGCUCAACCCCGGAUCGGCCUCGCGAACUGCAGGGCUCGAGCACUGUAGAGGCGGGUGGAAUUCCGGGUGUAGCGGUGGAAUGCGUAGAGAUCCGGAAGAACACCGGUGGCGAAGGCGGCCCGCUGGGCAGUGGCUGACGCUGAGGCGCGACAGCGUGGGGAGCAAACAGG
rnacentral:rRNA from 1 species